rnacentral:lncRNA from 1 species
GACAAACAUGGUUUUCGUACCUCAAUUCCACAUGUUUUGUUGUCAUUUCCCUUCAUGUUUUGCUUGUGAAUGCUUGUUUGUGCCUGAAUAUUUAGUUUUAUGAAGAUUUGAUAUCUUUGUGUAGUUUUGGAGUAAUUUCAGGAAAAAUCAAGGAUUAAUUGGAGGAUUUUGAAGAUAUGAUAUUGAAGUACGUCUCGAGAGGAAUCCGUGAGCGCAAACGGCGACCAAAUCCGAGUCCGGACGAGGGAGAACGGAGCAAAACGAGCGGCCUGCGCAAUACGCCCAGUAGCCCGCGGUCACCACCCGCGGCCGCGGGGUGGGACCGCGGGUCAGCUGCCCCCGACUCAGGAGACACCCGCGGUCACCACCCGCGGCCGCGGGGUGGGACCGCGGGUCCCCUGACUCUCCCCCACGUUUGCCGGCCGCGGGCGCGGGCCAGGACCGCGGGAAAAGGGCGGAGCCUCCCCAAGUGGGCCCCAGUCGGGUUUUUCACCCCUUAAACCCCUUUCUCCCCCUUUUCCUCACAUUAUUCAUCAUCUCCAACAUUCA